rnacentral:tRNA from 1 species
GCCGGGGUAGCCUAGCCUGGUUAUGGCGCCAGACUCAUGAUCUGGAGGUCGCGGGAUCAAAUCCCGCCCCCGGCACCA